AUUGAACGCUGGCGGAAUGCUUUACACAUGCAAGUCGAACGGCAGCACGGACUUCGGUCUGGUGGCGAGUGGCGAACGGAUGAGUAAUGUAUCGGAACGUGCCCAGUCGUGGGGGAUAACGUAGUGAAAAUUACGCUAAUACCGCAUACGAUCUAUGGAUGAAAGCGGGGGAUCGCAAGACUUCGCGCGAUUGGAGCGGCCGAUAUCAGAUUAGGUAGUUGGUGGGGUAAAGGCCCACCAAGCCAACGAUCUGUAGCUGGUCUGAGAGGACGACCAGCCACACUGGAACUGAGACACGGUCCAGACUCCUACGGGAGGCAGCAGUGGGGAAUUUUGGACAAUGGGCGAAAGCCUGAUCCAGCCAUUCCGCGUGCAGGAUGAAGGCCCUCGAGUUGUAAACUGCUUUUGUACAGAACGAAAAGGUUUCUACUAAUACUAGGAGCUCAUGACGGUACUGUAAGAAUAAGCACCGGCUAACUACGUGCCAGCCGCCGCAGUAA
rnacentral:rRNA from 1 species